rnacentral:rRNA from 1 species
GUGAAUAGAACCUGAACCGGAUGCCUACAAACAGUCGGAGCCUGAAAGGGUGACGGCGUACCUUUUGUAUAAUGGGUCAACGACUUAGUGUAACAAGCAAGCUUAAGCCGGUAGGUGUAGGCGUAGCGAAAGCGAGUCUGAAUAGGGCGAUUGAGUUUGUUGCAUUAGACCCGAAACCGAGUGAUCUAGCCAUGAGCAGGUUGAAGGUUGGGUAACACCAACUGGAGGACCGAACCCGCAUCUGUUGCAAUAGAUUGGGAUGACUUGUGGCUAGGGGUGAAAGGCCAAUCAAACUCGGAAAUAGCUGGUUCUCCGCGAAAUCUAUUUAGGUAGAGCGUCGAGCGAAUACCCCCGGGGGUAGAGCACUGGAUGGGCUAUGGGGACUCACCGUCUUACUGAUCCUAACCAAACUCCGAAUACCGGGGAGUACUACUCGGCAGACACACGGCGGGUGCUAACGUCCGUCGUGAAAAGGGCAACAACCCUGACCUCCAGCUAAGGUCCCCAAGUCAUGGCUAAGUGGGAAAGGAUGUGAGGAUCCCAAAACAACCAGGAUGUUGGCUUAGAAGCAGCCAUCAUUUAAAGAAAGCGUAACAGCUCACUGGUCUAAAUAAGGGUCUUUGCGCCGAAAAUGUAACGGGGCUGAAGCCAUGCACCGAAGCUGAGGAUGUGUAGCAAUACACGUGGUAGCGGAGCGUUCCGUAAGCCUGUGAAGGGACAGUCGUGAGACAUCCUGGAGGUAUCGGAAGUGCGAAUGUUGACAUGAGUAACGAUAAAGAGGGUGAGAGACCCUCUCGCCGAAAGACCAAGGGUUCCUGCUUAAAGUUAAUCUGAGCAGGGUUAGCCGGCCCCUAAGACGAGGCGGACACGCGUAGUCGAUGGGAACCACGUUAAUAUUCGUGGGCCUGGUGGUAGUGACGGAUUGCUCAACUUGUAAGGUCUUAUUGGAUUGAUCUUGCAGGGACGCGGUUCCAGGAAACAGCUCCACCGUAUAGACCGUACCCGAAACCGACACAGGUGGUCAGGUAGAGUAUACCAAGGCGCUUGAGAGAACUAUGUUGAAGGAACUCGGCAAAUUGCACGCGUAACUUCGGAAGAAGCGUGACCCCAUUUUGGGCAACCAGGAUGGGGUGGCACAGACCAGGGGGUAGCGACUGUUUAUCAAAAACACAGGGCUCUGCGAAGUAGCAAUACGACGUAUAGGGUCUGACGCCUGCCCGGUGCUGGAAGGUUAAAGGGAGAGGUGCAAGCUUUGAACUGAAGCCCCAGUAAACGGCGGCCGUAACUAUAACGGUCCUAAGGUAGCGAAAUUCCUUGUCGGGUAAGUUCCGACCUGCACGAAUGGCGUAACGACUUCCCCGCUGUCUCCAACAUAGACUCAGUGAAAUUGAAUUCCCCGUGAAGAUGCGGGGUUCCUGCGGUCAGACGGAAAGACCCCGUGCACCUUUACUAUAGCUUUACACUGGCAUUCGUGUCGGCAUGUGUAGGAUAGGUGGUAGGCUUUGAAGCGGGGACGCCAGUUUCCGUGGAGCCAUCCUUGAAAUACCACCCUUAUCGUCAUGGAUGUCUAACCGCGGUCCGUUAUCCGGAUCCGGGACAGUGUAUGGUGGGUAGUUUGACUGGGGCGGUCGCCUCCGAAAGAGUAACGGAGGCGCGCGAUGGUGGGCUCAGACCGGUCGGAAAUCGGUCGUCGAGUGCAAUGGCAUAAGCCCGCCUGACUGCGAGACUGACAAGUCGAGCAGAGACGAAAGUCGGUCAUAGUGAUCCGGUGGUCCCGCGUGGAAGGGCCAUCGCUCAACGGAUAAAAGGUACGCCGGGGAUAACAGGCUGAUGACCCCCAAGAGUCCAUAUCGACGGGGUUGUUUGGCACCUCGAUGUCGGCUCAUCGCAUCCUGGGGCUGGAGCAGGUCCCAAGGGUUUGGCUGUUCGCCAAUUAAAGCGGUACGUGAGCUGGGUUCAGAACGUCGUGAGACAGUUCGGUCCCUAUCUGCCGUGGGUGUAGGAAUAUUGACAGGAUCUGUCCCUAGUACGAGAGGACCGGGAUGGACAUAUCUCUGGUGGACCUGUUGUCCUGCCAAGGGCGUAGCAGAGUAGCUAC